GACUGUAGGCUGCAACUCGCCUACACGAAGUCGGAAUCGCUAGUAAUCGCGGAUCAGCAUGCCGCGGUGAAUACGUUCCCGGGCCUUGUACACACCGCCCGUCGCACCAUGGGAGUUUGUAACGCCCAAAGUCGGUGGCCUAACCUUUAUGGAGGGAGCCGCCUAAGGCGGGACAGAUGACUGGGGUGAAGUCGUAACAAGGUAAC
rnacentral:rRNA from 1 species